GGGCGAGCGUAGCUCUUGAGGGGAGCGCUGCUCUUACAAAGCAGACGUCGGCGGUUCGGGAACCGUCCGCGCCCA
rnacentral:tRNA from 1 species